GACGAACGCUGGCGGCGUGCUUAACACAUGCAAGUCGAACGGUAAGGCCCUUCGGGUACGACGAGUGGCGAACGGGUGAGUAACACGUGGGUGAUCUGCCCUGCACUUCGGGAUAAGCCUGGGGAACUGGGUCUAAUACCGGAUAGGACUCCUGGCUUCAUGGUUGGGGGUGGUAAAGCUUUUGCGGUGUGGGAUGGGCCCGCGGCCUAUCAGCUUGUUGGUGGGGUAAUGGCCUACCAAGGCGACGACGGGUAGCCGGCCUGAGAGGGUGACCGGCCACACUGGGACUGAGAUACGGCCCAGACUCCUACGGGAGGCAGCAGUGGGGAAUAUUGCACAAUGGGCGCAAGCCUGAUGCAGCGACGCCGCGUGA
rnacentral:rRNA from 1 species